UACAGAGGGUGCGAGCGUUAAUCGGAAUUACUGGGCGUAAAGCGCACGUAGUCGGCUUUGCAAGUCGGGUGUGAAAUCCCCGGGCUCAACCUGGGAACUGCAUCCGAGACUGCAUUGCUAGAGUAUGGGAGAGGGGAGCGGAAUUUCUGGUGUAGCAGUGAAAUGCGUAGAUAUCAGAAGGAACAUCAGUGGCGAAGGCGGCUUCCUGGACCAAUACUGACGAUCAGGUGCGAAAGCGUGGGGAGCAAACAGG
rnacentral:rRNA from 1 species